rnacentral:ncRNA from 1 species
CCGUGCCAGCAGCCGCGGUAAUACGGAGGAUGCAAGCGUUAUCCGGAAUGAUUGGGCGUAAAGAGUCCGUAGGUAGCCCCUCAAGUCUGCUGUUAAAGAGCGAGGCUUAACUUCGUAAAGGCAGUGGAAACUGGGGAGCUAGAGUGUAGUAGGGGCAGAGGGAAUUCCUGGUGUAGCGGUGAAAUGCGUAGAGAUCAGGAAGAACACCG